UACGUAGGUGGCAAGCGUUGUUCGGAAUUACUGGGCGUAAAGCGUGCGCAGGCGGCCAUCCAAGUCAGUGGUGAAAGCCCGGAGCUCAACUCCGGAAUUGCCAUUGAAACUGUUUGGCUCGAGUACGAGAGAGGUGAGUGGAAUUCCCAGUGUAGAGGUGAAAUUCGUAGAUAUUGGGAAGAACACCGGUGGCGAAGGCGGCUCACUGGCUCGUAACUGACGCUCAUGCACGACAGCGUGGGGAUCAAACAGG
rnacentral:rRNA from 1 species